GAUUAAGAACGUAGCGAAAUGCGAUAAGUAGUGUGAAUUGCAGAAUUCAGUGAAUCAUCGAAUCUUUGAACGCACAUUGCGGCCAUAGGUAUUCCUUUGGCCAUGCCUGUUCGAGCGUCAUUUACACCCUCAAGCCUAGCUUGGUGUUGGGCGUCUGUCCCGCCGUUCUCGCGCGCGGACUCGCCUCAAAGUCAUUGGCGGCGGUCGUGCCGGCCCCCUCGCGCAGCACAUUUGCGCUUCUCGGAGGCCCGGCGGAUCCGCGCUCCAGCAAGACCUUUCACGACUUGACCUCGGAUCAGGUAGGGAUACCCGCUGAACUUAAGCAUAUCAAUAAGCGGAGGA
rnacentral:misc_RNA from 1 species